GACGAACGCUGGCGGCGUGCUUAACACAUGCAAGUCGAACGGAAAGGCCCUGCUUUUGUUGGGUGCUCGAGUGGCGAACGGGUGAGUAACACGUGAGUAACCUGCCCUUGACUUUGGGAUAACUUCAGGAAACUGGGGCUAAUACCGGAUAGGAGCUCCUGCUGCAUGGUGGGGGUUGGAGAGUUUCGGCGGUUGGGGAUGGACUCGCGGCUUAUCAGCUUGUUGGUGGGGUAGUGGCUUACCAAGGCUUUGACGGGUAGCCGGCCUGAGAGGGUGACCGGCCACAUUGGGACUGAGAUACGGCCCAGACUCCUACGGGAGGCAGAAGUGGGGAAUAUUGCACAAUGGGCGGAAGCCUGAUGCAGCAACGCCGCGUGCGGGAUGACGGCCUUCGGGUUGUAAACCGCUUUCGCCUGUGACGAAGCGUGAGUGACGGUAAUGGGUAAAGAAGCACCGGCUAACUACGUG
rnacentral:rRNA from 1 species